rnacentral:tRNA from 1 species
UCCCUGGUGGCUCAGACGGUAAAGCAUCUGCCUGCAAUGCGGGAGUCCAGGGUUCGAUUCCUGGGUUGGGAA